GCCAUGACAAGACACUGAUCUCUUGUCACAAGAUUUAACUUCUGGAUUGUCUAAAACACGACAUUUAUUACAAAAUAUGUGCCCUGAAUAUUUGGUUUUACUGCAAUUUACCACACUCGGAAAUAAACCUAGCAAAAACAAAUAUAAAGAAAAUUUCGCGUACCAACAACUGACAUAAUAUUGAAACGCAGAAGAUAAAGGAAUAAGCUAAUCGACAUCUGGCUGGACUGGUAUUUCAAGCGGAAUUGUCGACAGAAUGAAAUGGUUACUCAUCUUUAUUGUAUCAUCAUUGACUAAUCUCUUGGCAGCCUCGCCAGCUGGCUGUAAUCCUUCCUUGGAUUUACUGUUUACGGUGGGAUCUGAAAGUUACCUCGACUUUGCUGAAAGAAUUAUUGGUGAUCUUGCCAGACAACCGCUACCACCGUACACGAUACAGACCGGUGUUAGUGUCUGUAACAACUCUUCGGUGGCCUUCAUCCCGUUAAUGUCCAGAUUUGUUCAAGUUAUGACCUCCAUUAAAACCAUCUCAAACGGUCUUUUGGAUAAAUCUCGGUUAAGACACGAGCAGACAAUAUCGUAUUCCAACAAACUGUGUCUUCAAGUUUCAAAAGAUAUCUUUCAGAGAAGUUACAGAAAUAACGUUUCAAAGAUGCUGAUAUUGGUAACAGAUGGUACUGGUUGGGCUUCUACUGAUCAUGCCAGAAACGCAGCAGAACUGAAAUUGAACAAUAUUACCAUAGUAACAAUUGGCAUUGGUAUCAAGCAAAUUGAUAUUUCUACAGACUUGGAGAACAUGGCUUCAGAUAGUAGUAAAUAUUUCAAUAUCCGAGAUAUGAGCAUGUUGCGAAGUUUGUCAUCCAUUUUCUCUAAAGGAUCGUGUCAGCCUCUUGAGAUAGACAUGUCCUCGAUGGUAAUCAUAUCACAAACAGAAGAACCACUGAGUUUAAUCUCUGGCAAUUUGGUAAAACAAGUUGCAGGUUGUCAAAGUAUCAUACUAAAUGCCACUCAUUAUGAAGAAGUACGAAUGAUUCCUGGAUUUGGCUCUCUUAGACAAAUCUUAGCAUGCCCACGUAACCAGUUCUAUGACGUCACUAGAUGUGGAUGCUCGUAAGGAAGAAAACGGAUUUCAAUAGUCUUCCUAUUAGGGUCUUUUUUAUUUUCUUUUUUUUUUUUUUUUUUUUUUUUUUUGCGAUUAGAAUGGCAGAACCAUAUGUGGACUAACUUUCAGACUAACCUACAGGACUGAGUUCAUAGAGUGGGCAAUUCAUUUGAUUUAAAUCUUUCCAGAAAUAGUAGUGUAUAUUAUGAUGAUCAAGAGAAAUUGUUGAUUUUUUGAAAGAUAUGUGUGCGUGGACUUAAAACGUAUAUCAUGUGUGGGACAUUCUCUCUGACGAUCAUAUGAUCAGAAAUAUGUUUUAAUUGACGCCAAAAUGUGGGACAUUCUCUAAGGCGAUCAUAUGAUAAGAAAUAUGUUUUAAUUGACGCAAAUGCUGACAGCAAUACUUGAACCUUACCCCCUCCCCGUCCCUUCUAAAAAGUGUUUCACUUAAUUAGAUUACUAUAUUAAAUUAAUAGCCGGUAGUAUCCUGAUUACUAUAGAAUUAUAUAUUUAUAAUCAUGAUUUUGUUGUUUGGUUUAUAUUUAAUACGAAAUGGUAUGAUAUAUCUGCAGGAUUUGUAUUAAAUAUUAGGGUGAAUAAGUAAAAAGAAAAGAGAUAUAUCAGCCUACAGUCAUACACCAACACCCAGUCUCUUCCUGUAUUUAAUUAACCUAAUAAUUUUAAUUUCGUAGUUUUGGUGACGUAAAAAUCAGAAGUCAAAAGAUUAAUGCCGAGUAUAUCUUUUACAUUAAACAUUCUAGUCAUUUA